UUUCUCAUUCUCUUCUAAGUUACCCAGUUUAACUGCCCUAUCCCUUUCACCACACCUCCCCCUCAUUAAACACUUACCAGAUCCUUUUCUGUUGCUAUGUAGGCAGUAAAGUAGCUUUCACAGCUGCCUGCUGAAUGAAAUGGGAAACACACACUCACACACACAUGCACACUGAGAGUGUGUGUAAGGAGGAGAAUUUCAGCAGUAUUUCAGGAUCAAGGGAUGCAAGUGGCAGGGAAAGCAUCAAGUCAGACAGCACUUAUUCUACAGCUGGAUUCAUCUUUUGGUGCAAAACCAAGAUGAGACCAAAAUCCCAGAGGUACUUGCUCAACCGUGCACCUCACAGGGCAUAUUCCUAUGGUUCUCCCCUGUAG
rnacentral:lncRNA from 1 species